GGGGAUUUAGCUCAGCGGCAUAAGCGCCUGCCUUGCAAGCAGGUAGAUGUGAGUUCGAUCCCCG
rnacentral:tRNA from 1 species